rnacentral:rRNA from 1 species
UACGUAGGCAGCAAGCGUUGUUCGGAGUUACUGGGCGUAAAGGGUGCGCAGGCGGUUCUGUAAGUAUGGUGUGAAAUCUCCCGGCUUAACUGGGAGGGUGCGCUAUAAACUGCGGGACUCGAGUGCGGGAGAGGAAAGCGGAAUUCCUGGUGUAGCGGUGAAAUGCGUAGAUAUCAGGAGGAACACCGGUGGUGUAGACGGCUUUCUGGACCAGUACUGACGCUGGAGAGACGGAAAAGCGUGGGGAGCAAACAGG